AUACGGAGGACGCGAGCGUUAUCCGGAUUCAUUGGGUUUAAAGGGUGCGCAGGCGGCCGUGCAAGUCAGCGGUGAAAGCCCGGGGCUCAACCCCGGAAGUGCCGUUGAUACUGCGUGGCUGGAAUGCGGUCGAGGCGGGCGGAACGUGGCGUGUAGCGGUGAAAUGCGUAGAUAUGGCACAGAACGCCGAUAGCGGAGGCAGCUCGCCAGGCCUGCAUUGACGCUCGGGCACGAAAGCGUGGGGAUCGAACAGGAUUAGAUACCCUGGUAGUCCACGCUGUAAACGAUGAAUACUAGGUGUGGGGGGACUGACCCCCUCCGUGCCGCAGUUAACACAAUAAGUAUUCCACCUGGGGAGUACGAUCGCAAGAUUGAAACUUAAAGGAAUUGACGGGG
rnacentral:rRNA from 1 species